AGAGUUUGAUCCUGGCUCAGGACGAACGCUGGCGGCGUGCUUAACACAUGCAAGUCGAACGAGGCACUUGUGCCUAGUGGCGAACGGGUGAGUAACACGUGAGCAACCUGCCCCUGGCUCUGGGAUAGCCUCCGGAAACGGGGAUUAAUACCGGACAUGACGCGGCAUCGCAUGAUGCUGUGUGGAAAGUUUUUCGGCCA
rnacentral:rRNA from 1 species